rnacentral:rRNA from 1 species
CCUCCUCCGCAUCUCGCCACCAACCUCCCACCCGAUCCCCAACCCCAUGAUCCGCAGGAGGCGCGGGCACGCCGCCUAGGGUUUCCACUCCCCUUCCCCCCGAUGGAGUCGCUGCCGCGGAAGCGCAAGGGCGCGCGCUCCCUCGCCGGCUCCCUCCACGACGCCUCCGCGGACCGCAAGCGGACCUGCCGGGAGCGGAAGCCGCGCCCCGACAAGAAGAAAAAGAAGCCCUCCGCCGCCGGCGAUGACGCCGCCACCGCCUCCGGCCGGGGCGGCGUGGUCAUGACGGCGCCGCCGGCCAGCGGCCGGGCCACCCCGGACAGCCCCGGCCGGGGCCUCAAGCGCAAGGUCGGCUGCAUCGAGUCCGCCACGCGCAUAGGCCGCAAGAAGCGCCUCGAGACCGAGUACGAGCUCGGCGACGAGAUCGGCCAGGGCAAGUUCGGCUCCGUCCGGAUCUGCCGCGCCAAGGCCGGCGGCGAGGAGUUCGCCUGCAAGGCGCUCCCCAAGAACGGCGAGGAGACGGUCCACCGCGAGGUCGAGAUCAUGCAGCACCUCUCCGGCCACCCCGGCGUCGUCACGCUCAAGGCCGUCUUCGAGGACGCCGACAAGUUCUACCUCGUCAUGGAGCUCUGCAGCGGCGGCCGCUUGCUCGACGAGAUGGCCAGGGACGGCACCUUCUCCGAGCAGCGAGCCGCCCUCGUCAUCAAGGAUCUAAUGUCGGUCGUCAAGUACUGCCACGAAAUGGGCGUCAUCCACAGGGACAUUAAGCCGGAGAAUAUUUUGCUCACCAAGACUGGCAAGAUGAAACUAGCUGAUUUUGGAUUGGCAGCACGAGUUACUAACGGUAAAUUCUUGCUGAUAUUUCACUUUGAAGCUCUACUAGAUGAUAAAUAAGUUGGGUUCCUGGGGGUACUCUAUGUUUACACAAGUUGCAAUUUUGAUUUGCUUUAUAUGACAAAAAAGACAUCAAUUAGAAGUAGUAGAAGAUCGACUGGACCAUACAAGGUUUUAUAAUCUUUAAUGAUUAGUAUGGUGUUACAACAUUUAGAAUUGAUGGUUGUACAUAGUUGAUCUGCGAUGCGAGUAAUUUGCCAUGUUAACUGGAUUACGGCGGGUUUCAGGUUUCAAUCACACAGCAUUUUUACAGGUUGCUCAUCUUUGUGACCAUGCAUAUCAUCUAAUCUAAUGUGUUAAACUUCUAAACAAGUCAGUUGGAUAGCUUUUGAUUUUUGAGUCAGAAAGUUGGUAGGAAAUUUAUUCAUGUGUCUUCUCCUCUUGCCUGAUAUGCUUAGAGAAUGGGGGUGAUUUGAAUGGAGUCUCAAAGUCAGAGCGCCUAUGCCUGGAAACUCUUUGUGCAUUCACCUGCAAGUAUCUAUAUGUAUAGUGUGAGACCCAAUAUAGCACUCUUAAAGUACUGAGCAUUUCAGACCAUUUCAUGUUUCAUACUUACACAGUCGAUACUGAUUGUAUUCACUGAAUUGGGCCACUUGGUUAUGAUGGUUGUGUAACUAAUAAGAUAGUACCAGUUCUGCAUCAAGAGUUAGGCGCUCUCAUUUCUUAAGUCAUUGCGGAGUCGGAAGUGGUGAAUGUUUCGCUCAGAUUCUUGUUUAAAUGAUGAUUUCUACAUGCCGAUUCAGUGUUUUGCAUGGUAUUGCGAAUGAAGAAAUGUUCUGUGUCGUCCCAUUAAUAUGUUAAGGUUUUUUUAGUCAUGAAUUGGUAGCAUGUGGUGCCUUCAUUGGUACUAAUAUUUUGCUAGAUAUCCAAGGUAAUUGAGGCAUUGCGCUAAUUGAUAGUUGGUUUCAUUCUACUUAUGGUGGUACUGAUACUAAUUUUCUUAUUUGCGUGGAAUUUGGAUGUUAAGAAUCUACACUGAUCAAUUUAAUCCUUGUAUUGAUAUUAAUUUAUGGCAUGCUCCUGCAAGUACCUGUUGUGAUAAGUCUGAGGGCCAGAAUAGUCUUCUUGAGCAUACCAAACAGGCUGUGUAAUAUUUUGAAUAUGGUCUUGAGUCAUUUUGAUGAAUUAGGAAGUGGUGUGAUGUCUGUCUGAAUGGAGUCAUAUAGUCUAUGAGUUGGAGUUGUCAGCAUGGCUUCAGGGGCACUGGUUCUUAUAAACAGCUGCUUAUAUUUUGUAAGGUCAGAAAUUGUCUGGCGUUGCUGGGAGCCCAGCCUAUGUGGCGCCUGAGGUGUUGUCAGGAAGCUAUUCUGAGAAAGUAGACAUAUGGGGUGCUGGGGUGCUCCUCCAUGUACUACUGCUUGGUUCACUUCCAUUUCAAGGGGGCUCUCUGGAAGCUGUCUUUGAAGCUAUAAAGACAGUUGAGCUUGAUUUCAACAGCGGUCCAUGGGAAUCAAUGUCAGUUCUUGGACGGGAUCUUAUAAGUCGAAUGUUGGAUCGAGAUGUCUCUUCUAGAAUGACUGCUGAUCAAGUUCUUUGUCAUCCAUGGGUGUUGUUUUACACGGAAUGUACCCUGAAGGCUGUAACUCCUAAUGUCACUAACCAGAUUGUAGCACCCAAAAUUCCAUGGGACAGAAUUAGAUCACAUUCUGAGUCGUCAGCUUCAGAUUCGUCGAGCCAGAGGUCGGAGGACCAGGAUGAAUGUGGCAUAGUCGACGCACUGACUGCGGCAAUAACACAUGUUAGAAUAUCGGAGCCGAAAAGAACCCGGCUUUGCAGCCCUGGCAUUCCCAUACAGCAGGAAUGCUCCUCAAACUUAAAGAGCAACCUGUGCACGGCGUUCUGACAUGACCCCAAUGUAUAGCUCCUUGUGUGUUGGUCUGAUGUCAGUGAUGGCUCAGCCUGCUGGUUGUCUCUGCUGAGGAUAAUAACUCGGGUUUUCCUGUCAGAGCAAGCAAGCGUUUGACAUGGUGAUGCUGUAGAUUGCGGUGAUGGCUGAUGAACCCGACAUGGUAGCUGAUGCUGUAAAUUUUGUAAAUAGAAUGAUCCAUGUAGCUAAUUUAUAUCUUGACAGAGUUCAGAAUAAUUUCAGUCUAUGAUGGUAAACAUAGUGUGCGACAUCAUCCUUGUUCCAUUCUUUGUUUCUUCCGGUUCCUCCUAGUAUUGAGAUCAGAUUUUUGCAUGGAUUUCUUGCACUCGGAUCAUUUUUUUGUUACUAGAUCUUUUUCACCCUGAAUGUAUUUUCCAGAAGCUGUACUCUUAAUCUGAUUUUGUGACUCAGAUAUAACACCAGAGAAAAACAAUAUGGUGGAGGAAAGAGAAAAAA